rnacentral:rRNA from 1 species
AGAACGAACGCUGGCGGCAUGCCUAAUACAUGCAAGUCGAACGAACACUUCGGUGUUAGUGGCGCACGGGUGCGUAACGCGUGGGAAUCUGCCCUUGGGUUCGGAAUAACAGUUGGAAACGACUGCUAAUACCGGAUGAUAUCGAAAGAUCAAAGAUUUAUCGCCCAGGGAUGAGCCCGCGUAGGAUUAGCUAGUUGGUGAGGUAAAGGCUCACCAAGGCGACGAUCCUUAGCUGGUCUGAGAGGAUGAUCAGCCACACUGGGACUGAGACACGGCCCAGACUCCUACGGGAGGCAGCAGUAGGGAAUAGUUGGACAAUGGGCGCAAGCCU